rnacentral:rRNA from 1 species
AUUCCAGCUCCAAUAGCGUAUAUUAAAGUUGUUGCAGUUAAAAAGCUCGUAGUUGGAUUUCUGGGUUCUUCGCUAGCUUUGGUCCGCAAGGGCUUCAGUGGGCUGUUUGAAUCCAUCCUCAGGGGGACCCAUGCUGGUAUUCAUUUAUCGGUGUGGGAACGCCUGUCGUUUACUGUGAACAAAUUAGAGUGUUCAAAGCAAGGUGUACUUGAAUACAUUAGCAUGGAAUAAUAAGAUAGGACUUUGGUGGUUCUUUUUGAUAUUUUGUUGGUUUGCACGCCAAAGUAAUGAUUAAUAGGAGCAGUUGGGGGUAUUCGUAUUCAAUUGUCAGAGGUGAAAUUCUUGGAUUUAUAGAAGACGAACUACUGCGAAAGCAUUUACCAAGGAUGUUUUCAUUG